rnacentral:tRNA from 1 species
GGAGAGAUAGCUUGGCAGUUGAGAGCACUGACUACUGUUCCAGAGGACCUGGGUUCAAUUCCCAGCAUCCUCA